rnacentral:rRNA from 1 species
AUAGUAAGGUUGAGGAGGAGGUUGGCAAGAGGAGGUGAGCAAGGGAUGUUGAGCGAGCUAGGGCUGGGACUGGGGCUUAGGUGGGCGCGGCGGCGCCAGAGGUGGGCGAGAGCGGGAUCGGGGUGUGGCGGCGGCGGGAUCGACCGGUGUGGCGACGGAGCGGAGUCGGAGAGCUGGAACCGACGACGAGGUGGGGAGGUGGUCUCCGGGAUCGGAGAAGGGGCCGACGACGAGGCGGGGGGAGGUGACUUCCGGGGGGAGGCGGCCUGCGGGAGGGCGACCUCCGGGGCUGGAGAACGGGCCGGUGACGAGACGGGGGGAGGUGGCAGCGGGAGGGAUGCCCCCCGGGAAAGGGAGUGGGGAGAGGAUCGGGUCGAGACCGGCGAGCAUGAGAGGGCGACGUGGGCACCGGCGCCGCAGUAGAGGCCAGUGUGCGACGCGGGCGCGGGGAGAAGGCUGGGACCGGGGCACUAUUAGCUGCAGCCUCUCCAACCGGGGACUAGCAAGGAGGCGACCAAUUGAUGAAGGAGAUGUCGGUUCCCAAAUGUGUUUCUCCCUCUUACGGUCGUCGACGUUAAGACCUGGACUUUUUCGAUGCAGUCUCAAUGGAUAAGACGUGUAGAAGUUUACUCGACUUUUAAAUGCCUCUUAACAAAAGCUUAUAUACCUUUUAUGACCUCGUUUAUUGAUGGCCUCCCCCGGUGGGACCACUCGUGUUCUGUGGUCCCACGCGGACCCGGGGGUCCGCGCGGGACCCCCAACACGGGAGGAGCCGGGCUGAUGCCAUGGGUAGAACACCAUAUAUUUAGUAAAACUCGAUCUUUUUUUUAUUCUCCCCCUGAAAGCCCUGCCUCGCGACGGCAGAGUUCUCCUUGAACCCGUCCUCGUGAAAACUGGAGGCGGCCCCCUUGAA